UGCUUAACACAUGCAAGUCGAACGGCAGCGCGGAGAGAGCUUGCUCUCUUUGGCGGCGAGUGGCGGACGGGUGAGUAAUACGUAGGAAUCUACCUAGAGGAGGGGGACAACUUGGGGAAACUCAAGCUAAUACCGCAUAAUACUUAAGGGUUAAAGCAUGGGACCUUCGGGCCAUGCGCCGAUAGAUGAGCCUACGUUAGAUUAGCUAGUUGGUGGGGUAAAGGCCUACCAAGGCGAUGAUCUAUAGCUGGUCUGAGAGGAUGAUCAGCCACACUGGGACUGAGACACGGCCCAGACUCCUACGGGAGGCAGCAGUGGGGAAUAUUGGACAAUGGGCGCAAGCCUGAUCCAGCAAUGCCGCGUGUGUGAAGAAGGCCUGCGGGUUGUAAAGCAC
rnacentral:rRNA from 1 species